UACGUAGGGGGCAAGCGUUGUCCGGAUUUAUUGGGCGUAAAGAGCGUGUAGGCGGUUUGGUAGGUCCGUUGUGAGAACUCGAGGCUCAACCUCGAGACGCCGAUGGAAACCAUCAGACUAGAGUCCGGAAGAGGAGAGUGGAAUUCCUGGUGUAGCGGUGAAAUGCGCAGAUAUCGGAAGGAACACCAGUGGCGAAGGCGGCUUCCUGGGCUAAUACUGACACUGAGGUGCGAAAGCGUGGGGAGCAAACAGG
rnacentral:rRNA from 1 species